GACGAACGCUGGCGGCGUGCUUAACACAUGCAAGUCGAACGGAAGGGCCCUGCUUUUGUGGGGUGCUCGAGUGGCGAACGGGUGAGUAACACGUGAGUAACCUGCCCUUGACUUUGGGAUAACUUCAGGAAACUGGGGCUAAUACCGGAUAGGAGCUCCUGCUGCAUGGUGGGGGUUGGAAAGUUUCGGCGGUUGGGGAUGGACUCGCGGCUUAUCAGCUUGUUGGUGGGGUAGUGGCUUACCAAGGCUUUGACGGGUAGCCGGCCUGAGAGGGUGACCGGCCACAUUGGGACUGGGAUACGGCCCAGACUCCUACGGGAGGCAGCAGUGGGGAAUAUUGCACAAUGGGCGGAAGCCUGAUGCAGCAACGCCGCGUGCGGGAUGACGGCCUUCGGGUUGUAAACCGCUUUCGCUUGUGACGAAGCGUGAGUGACGGUAAUGGGUAAAGAAGCACCGGCUAACUACGU
rnacentral:rRNA from 1 species